rnacentral:rRNA from 1 species
GUGGGGAAUCUUGCGCAAUGGGCGAAAGCCUGACGCAGCCAUGCCGCGUGAAUGAUGAAGGUCUUAGGAUUGUAAAAUUCUUUCACCGGGGACGAUAAUGACGGUACCCGGAGAAGAAGCUCCGGCUAACUUCGUGCCAGCAGCCGCGGUAAUACGAAGGGGGCUAGCGUUGCUCGGAAUUACUGGGCGUAAAGGGCGCGUAGGCGGACAGCUUAGUCAGAGGUGAAAGCCGAGGGCUCAACCUUGGAAUUGCCUUUGAUACUGGCUGUCUUGAGUUUGGGAGAGGUGAGUGGAACUCCGAGUGUUGAGGUGAAAUUCGUAGAUAUUCGGAAGAACACCAGUGGCGAAGGCGACUCACUGGCCCAAUACUGACGCUGAGGCGCGAAAGCGUGGGGAGCAAACAGGAUUAGAAACCCUUGUAGUCC